rnacentral:sRNA from 1 species
CUGGUAUUGUUCUCUAUUGGAAAUCAUCUACUGUGACGGGUUAGCACCCAUUAGCAGUUAACUUACACAACCACCUCGCGUAUCCGCGCGCGUGUAUGAUCCCACUCCGCACAUGUGUAGUUCUAAUGAUUCCUCCACACAAUCCUUGUGAUUCUGCUCCACACAUGUGUAGUCUCUAAUGAUUCCUCUGUGUAUUCCCUGAUAUUCUUUCACUCUGCUCAUUCUUCUAUAAGAACUUCUUUGUAUAAUCUUUUCUUUUAAUCUCUUUUCUUUUUCUUUUCUUAAUCAAUUUGUAAACUGUAUUAGUGUAACGGGCG